CAAUGGUGGCUUUUGCCUUCUUCUGCCACUUACAUCUCAAAUGAUCACACAACACCAUCAAACUAUAUCUCACAGGCGUACAACAUCACAUUUUCACCACUUUUCCCAAUCACCAGCCUUUUCUAGCCUCUAUAUGCUCAAAGGUAUCAACAAAACAGUUCACCCCCAUACAACCAGUAGACUACGUAUAGAUGGACCUAUUUUCUGGAAACUAAGCGACCUAUUAGACACCAGCCCCUUUGAUUCACAGACUAAUUCAGCCAUUAAAGUAGCUAUAUUCAUCCCCUUCUACGGCUUCCUUAGACCUAGAGAGCUUACCGUCAUAUGCCAUUCAGAUGCCAAUACUAGCUUAAAAAAUUCUAACCUGGUAAAAAACCAUGACCAUUACAUCCUUUCACUGCAAACCUCAAAAACUAAUCAAACCAACCAGCCCAUCACAAUCCCCCUCUUUCCUACAGGAAACUACUGGUGCCCAGUUAAAAUACUAGACACUUUUCUAAGCAUUUGACACAGUCACCCACCUAACUCUCCACUACUACUACUCCACGAUCAACCUCUCACCACAUCCAGGUUCGUUUUUUACAUCAGAACUCUGCUGUUAAGAUUAGGCUACAACCCCUCUUUCUUUUCCGGACACUCCUUCAGAAUAUGAGCAGCCUCGUCUGCAUCCAGCUCUAACACGCCAGUCCACAUCAUCAAAAGACUGGGCCGAUGGAAGUCAU